UAUAUGAUGCUAUUGUAAUUCAUCCUUGUGAGCCAGGAGUAACUGAAUGGAUUAAUGUCUACAACCUAAAAUGGUGCGUCUUGUAGUGACGGACCAGUUCCUGAUCUUUGUUGGACGGGACAGGGUCACCACUCCCUUGUAUUUUGGGAUUUGUGUAUUUUAAUGGGAUUUAUGGAUAUUUACUGUAAAGUACAAUGAUGGACCAGUUCCUGCUUUUGUUGGACGGGGCGGAGUUGCCACUCCCUUGUACAUGUAUAUCAGGAUUUGUGUAUUUUAAAGUCAUUUAUUGAUAUUUACGGUGCGUCUUGUAGUGAUAGACCAGUUCCUGCUUUUGUUGGACGGGGCGGAGUCGCCACUCCCUUGUACAUGUAUAUCGGGAUUUGUGUAUUUUAAAGUCAUUUAUUGAUAUUUACGCUGCGUCUUGUAGUGACGGACCAGUUCCUGAUCUUUGUUGGACGGGACAGGGUCACCACUCCCUUGUAUAUUGGGAUUUGUGUAUUUUAAUGGG